UUUCUUUUGGCAGCACAUAUCCUAAAACUGACAUGAUACAGAAAAUAUUAGCACAGUCCCUAUGUAAGGACAUCACAAAAAUUCAUGAAGCAUUUCAUAUAUGU
ensembl:snRNA U6 U6 spliceosomal RNA